rnacentral:lncRNA from 1 species
UAUUGGGACAAUAAACGAAUGAAGAGACAAACGUCAUUUAUCAAGCAUGUAUUGUAACAUUUCCGUGUUUUGCCAUUUCGUUUCAUUAUCAAAUAACUGACAAUUUAUCGCCCUUUGUAUCAACACGCCAUUUGUAAACAUGAAAGGUCGUAAGAAAGGAAACUUUUAAAUCGUAAUUUGACGAUUACUUUAAAAGGGAUAAUGAAUGGUAUUGCACGAUUUACAGCUUUUUUUUAAAGUAUUUUUAAUUUUACAACUACUAAGGAGCAUCUGGCAUAUUGGCAUGAUGUUGCAAUGACCUUAAACAAAAAAGGAAUUCUCAAGGCAUGUCUACAUACCACAUGUUGGAAGAGUUUGUAGAAUGGCUGAAGGAUGAAAGAAUUUCCAGAAAAAUAAAAUUCUUUUUGAAUUUGUGAAUGGGAAUGAAACCAAAAAGGACCUAACAUAUUUGCUGAGCAUCCAGUUGAAAGUAUGCCAAUGGAAUAAAGUGCAACUGUCACAGAAGUGCACAAAAUAAGGCCAUGUUUUCUGCAAAAGUUCAUCAAGCUGAUUCAAACUACAAAUGGGAGUCAAGAAAAAAGUAAAACUAACUGAACUUUCACAGUUCAACUGUGAGCAGUGUUUGGUAAAAGUAUGGUGUGUUGCCAGAACAGCAGUGAAGUGGUUAGAGUAAAACUGUCUUAAUUGUUUAAUUGUUUAAGCAAUACAGAAUAUUUUUUUAAACUUCUCCAUGCAUAAAAUAUCUUGAGUGCUCUUUUUUAUUUAAAUAAUCAUACAGUUUCAAGAAAUUUGACAAUAAAUGCUAUUUUUAUUUUUAUAAGAAAAUAGUGCAUUUUGCCAUAGUAUUACACAUUAAUCUGACUAUAAAUUAUUGUAAAACAUCUUUCAUGUUUAUUUGUUCUAUUUGUCAAAAAAAUAAUGUAAGGUCAUAUUCUUUUCUAAGUAAUAACUGCAUCAACAAAACAUUAUUUUAAUAUAUGAAUCUGCCUUGAACGAGUUGUAACUGUGUUGUGUGUAUCAGAAAAUUAUGUAUAUCCCAAAGUGUCACAUUAAUUUACAUGAAUUGAGGUUUUCUUACUUUUGAAUAUGAAAUAGACAGCUAUCGAUGUAAAUAGUAUUUUGAAAAACACUUUAACAUAUUCAGUUAUUUCAAGAACUUGAUAGAAAUGGUACUUUUGGUAAGAAAACACAUCAUUGUUGCCAUGGUAACGAGUCGCUGAUCAGUAUGACAUCAGUCUGUACUACUACCUUGAGCAAAAUCAGUUUAUAAUAUUUCUAAUAAUUAUAUCUUUUUGCAUGAUUUUCUGUCUAACAGUAACAAAGAAAUAUGCCAAUGAGUUAAGUGUUCUAACAACAAAGUUAAUGUCCCAGUUUUGUCAUGAUAUCUAACUCGAUAUCUAGUAAAUCUACUUUUCUACAAAAGAAAGCCAUAAGAUUUUUGCAAAAAACUGUUAUCUUUAAACACUGUACACUAGAAAAUGUUGACGGUAUAUUAACUACACUUUCUAGAUGUUAAUUUUGGCUGGAUUUAUCAAGGAACUAUUAAAAUUGGAUUUAACAACUGUGUUGCCAUGGAAACCACUUUUAGAGGAAAAUAAUUUGUGCUAAUAUGAAAGAAAGAAACAGGAAAAAAUAAAUUUAAUAAACUGCAUGUUGUGUUUAAUAUUUCGUUAUGUAUUUUCUUUUCAUAUUAUUUUAAGAAGGAGUUUGCAUUAAGAUAUUCUGCCUCUAUUUUGAUUCAGUUAGACGAAAAUAUGGUGUCCGAAAAUUGGUAAUUUCUCCAUAACAAUGGCUGAUUUCUAUUGUCAAAUUGCAAAUUUUUACUUUGAACAUGACAAUCUGUCAGAUUAGCUGAAAACCCCAUUUUCGACCAAAAUCGCAUUUGGGCCAAAAAUCUCAUGUCCUGACACAUAUCU